rnacentral:rRNA from 1 species
ACUCAAAUGAAUUGACGGGGACCCGCACAAGCGGUGGAUGAUGUGGUUUAAUUCGAUGCAACGCGAAAAACCUUACCCACCUUUGACAUGUACGGAAGUCGCUAGAGAUAGCUUCGUGCUCGAAAGAGAGCCGUAACACAGGUGCUGCAUGGCUGUCGUCAGCUCGUGUCGUGAGAUGUUGGGUUAAGUCCCGCAACGAGCGCAACCCUUGUCAUUAGUUGCUACAUUUAGUUGGGCACUCUAAUGAGACUGCCGGUGACAAACCGGAGGAAGGUGGGGAUGACGUCAAGUCCUCAUGGCCCUUAUAGGUGGGGCUACACACGUCAUACAAUGGCUGGUACAAAGGGUUGCCAACCCGCGAGGGGGAGCUAAUCCCACAAAGCCAGUCGUAGUCCGGAUCGUAGUCUGCAACUCGACUACGUGAAGUCGGAAUCGCUAGUAAUCGUGGAUCAGAAUGUCACGGUGAAUACGUUCCCGGGUCUUGUACACACCGCCCGU